rnacentral:rRNA from 1 species
GACGGGGGAUGCAAGUGUUAUCCGGAAUCACUGGGCGUAAAGCGUCUGCAGGUGGUUUCCUAAGUCCACUGUUAAACCUUGAGGCUCAACCUCAGAUCUGCAUUGGAAACUAGGAGACUUGAGUAUAGUAGGGGUAGAGGGAAUUUCCAGUGGAGCGGUGAAAUGCGUAGAUAUUGGAAAGAACACCGAUGGCGAAGGCACUCUACUGGGCUAUUACUGACACUCAGAGACGAAAGCUAGGGGAGCAAAUGGG